ensembl:lncRNA
UGGGGACCCACCGCCCUCGCCGAGCGUCAGGGGGGAUGGGCUCUUAACUGUCCCGGGUUACAAAGAGUUAGAGUUGAAAGGACUUGUCCUGACCCCUUCGUCUCGGCACUUACGGAAGGAGGCAGGUGCCGAAGAUACCGGCCAGCCCGAAGGGAGCCCUCACGGCACUUGAAUGCUUUAGAAGUCAAGUUCUUUGGGCUGCCUGCAGAGGGCGCUAGGACAGGGAUCCAGGAUCUCAGACUGCUGGGGGGACGAGACCGAGGUCGGCCUCCUCUGGGACCUCGUCCCCACGGCCCCGGUCCCGGCUUCGGCCCGCCCAGCCCGGUCUCAGCAAAGAUCCUGCUGGUCACCCCAGCCCAUCUCCGAUCACCCCGGACACCUGAUGCGUUCUUCGUCCCCCCUCUCCCGCGGAAUCUAGUCCGUGACUCAGUCCCCUACCCGUCACGUCUCUCGAGCUUUCCACCCACUGGCCUCUCAUGCGCCUUGGCCAUAAAUCCCCCGUCUUUGUUGAACUGGAGUUGAGCGCUCUCUUUCUCCUCUCACUGCAAUAAUUUUGAAUAACGCUUUUACCAACUGGUCAGAAUCAUCGUUUUCUUUCACAGAGGUCAGCGAUGGCUUUCUCAGAGUCACAGCAACAUCCGAAGCCCAGGGCUGUGGAGGAUCUCCCUGUUGGAGGGACCUCUGUUAAACCGUUGACUUUCCAUCCACCCAUUUCUAUUUUAAGAGUUUGUGGAAGAACUCAAGACCCCUCAGUGGCUUUUCCUACCCACUUGGUGGCCUGAGCAGUGGAGCUGCAGACCAGUCUUCAGUGGCAGGCUAAGCAUUCAGAAUCUAGUAUAGGGAACGGCCGGAUGGGCACGGAGGCACCCACCUGCCACCACGGGAUCUCUCUAGAAGCAGAGGUCAGGCGUGGCCUCCCGUGGGCGUGCACAGGAGAUGGUGCCACGCAGGCACGCGCAGACCCUCCCGGGGGACCAUCCACCACGUCAGACCCACGGGUGAGCUCCCCUGUUGCUGCCCGGGUGGCAGUGUCCACACAGCACAGGGGAGAGGCGUGUCACAGAGAGCGAGGUAGGCGGGUGAACUAAGAGGUCCCUGUGAGAGGCUGGUGGUCAGCUGGGAGAGGCCUUGGUUCCCAGAAGGCUGCCUGGACCUGGUUCGUGAAGGUUCCAGGAGUGAAACGGCAGCAACAGGAGUGGCUCCAGGGGCAGCAGCAAACUUGAGCCCAGCUCACGGCCAGUGGUCCUGGAGGAUCUCAUACUGACAUGAGCUGGGUUUUCAGUGGCAGCGGUGGCACAAGCCGCCAGCAGACGCUUCUCCCAAGUCCUCUUCAGAUUCAUGAAUGAGAAGCCGUCGCUUUUCCUUCCGUAGACGGACGGUUGCACUUGGACGUCCGGGCCGGUGCCACCUCGGGGGGUCCCUGCUGCAGGGGAUUGGAGGACCUGCUCCUCUUUCAUUUGCAUCAAGGGCGCUGGCACCGUGACCGUUUCCCUUUCGGUUACGCUGGGAGUCGAGAACCAUGCCGUACCGACCCUGUCCGGGCGGCGUGGAAAGGUCUUUGCUUUUUUAAAAUGUCGUUGGCGUC